AGCUGAGAAGGGUCGUUCGCUCGCCGUACCGUACCCGUACGAAAUCGCCUAAGUUGCCAGUGAUCUCUUUCCCGCCAGUCACACUUUACCUCUCUCUCUCUGUCUCUGUAGCUAUUACCGGCUAGUAGCUUUUCGUUCAGCGCGUGGAUAUGGUCACGGAGCUGCAAGCGAUAGCAAGUUUCAACUUCCGUCUAAGGUCCAGGUCAAAGUUCAGUGCCUCGAGGGAGAGAUUUGUCCACUGAUUAAGCCGCUAUACACACACUGAAGAUGAAUUUCGGUAUGUCGAAAGGCAGGUCCAUAUUAUGGAUCUCUGGAAUGGUCCUCCUGAUAGCCACUAUGACUAUGAUGGGCAGAACCAACGGGUUUAUGUUCGGGCGCGGGUAUUCUUAUACCCGCUUCUGCAGGUUCCUCGUAAGGAGGCCUCAUUUACUGGCAAGGUUACACGGCCUCAUGUCGUACUACUACAAGCAUUGCUAUGGCUCCUAUAAUUCCUUCCUCGGGAAAUAGAAAACGGAAGAGGGAACGGAAAACGGGAAACUCGAAGAAACUCUACGGGGACAGAACGCCACGGAUCGCAAUAACUUUUUAAGUAUAGUAUCAGCGUCGAGUAAAAAUAAUUAAGUGAGUGUCGAUGGACGAAUGCAGUCAAUGUUAAGAUGGUAAAGCUUUAAGAGAGAGAGAGAGAGAGAGAGAGAGAGAGAGAGAGAGAGAGAGAGUAACGACAUCUGUACUGAUAACAUUUAAUUCCUGCAAUAUGCACUACGAUUACUUGGUCACAAUAAUACUUACAGGGCUACAACUUAGAUUAGUCAAAACAACAAAGCACCAAUAAGAUGACCAGUUGAAACAACAACAGAAACAACAGUAGGCGCAACAACAUCAACGCUACUAGUGUUUGACCACACUGUAAUUGUUCUGUGUCCCUAUGUAAGCCACGUUCAA